CCACCGAAUUUUGGUACGGCGAGGGCACGACAAAGAUUGGGAGCGGAGGUGCGGUGUAGGUACCGGUGGGAGUGGGGAGCACGAGGUGGUGGUUUAUGGGUGGCAGUGAAGGAAGUGGCUGGUGGCUGGGAUAGGGGGGUCGAGGCGGAGGCGGAGGGACAAGCGGCGGAGGCGGAGCGAAGGGGCCAGCACCGGUAACGGUGCCACUGCCGGCGGCACGGGGGGCUGCUGUAGAGCGUCGAGUUAUUGGCAGAGGCGCGCGAGCAGGCGGCGGCGCCACAGAGAAGGCGACGGUGUAGAGGGUACCUGGGGCGGGUCCGCCUCCGGAUGGAGGUGUACUAGGCGCUCGUCGUCGCGGAGCCGGAGGCGGUCGAGGCGGCCGUGCGCCGGCUUGGCCUUAUGCUCUCUCUGCAGCCUUCGUUGCCCCUCCUGCUCCUCCUCCCACCGCCUUCCUCCUUCCCCUACCGCCGGUCCUCGAGAAACCCCGUGGCACACCUGGGCGCACUCGACCUCGGGCCGCUCAUGCAGCAAGUGUUCUUUCAGCCGCAGCCGUUCAAGCAGACAUAUUCGCCUCUCCUGCCUCUCCUGAUGCACAAGUAAGUCAUACGCCUGCGGUACCGCUUCGAACGUCAGCUGGUCCGUCGUGCGUACGAGAUGGCUAUGUUGGAAGGAGUACUCUUUUUCUCCGGUUCCUUAGAUUCGUUCGACUUACUAGGAAGAUGUACCCUCUUCUCCUCCGACUUUCCUUUCGAACGACAAGUCUUCUACCACCAGUUGAACUACCUCAAUAUAAAUGUUUCCUACUCCGUCUCUUCCGGCGGCAUGGCUUUCGGACUCCGCUACCUAGUCAAACGAAGACUUAAAGGAAUGCUCGGAUGGGGUCUAGUUUUGGUCCGAAAGUAUCUAUAACUCUUACUAGACUGACUUUCCCUUUGUGGUUACCUGUCUAACUAGACACCUCUACAGCCCAAACCAUUUUGCCUUCAACGUUACGCACGAUAUAAGUAGCAACAUAGAUGUCCUAUAGUUCGAUACCAAGAGCGUGGUUGACAUUAUGAUCGGUUAGUUGUGAUACUGCAUUACAGACUCGCAAAGAGGUUGAUAGGACUGUAUUUCCAGCGGUAUAAGUCGCCACGAGUCUCGUUCCUACUUUUCCUACUCGAUUAUUGGUUUUAAUGCUUACCCGUAAACGUUUAUUAACAACCUUGAGUACGAGAAGAAUGUCUUGCCUACCGGAUAUUGUUAGAACCAGAGGAUCACCACCUACUCCUUGUCUUCAAGCCACAUGUUGUUUUCCUCUUCUAACGUAGUAAGUUUCGAAGAUAACUACAAGAAUGGGACAGGCGUUGUGGGUAAGGUGCUUGAGACAUAGAACGAAAUUGGCCAAAGGCACUACGUUCAAAUUACAGAUGUGGUGGAGGCCUUUCUCAGCGACAGUUCUGGAUACACAGUCGUAAAUCAUCUCUUUCACGAGAUAGUCGAUAGUUUAACCUCAACUUCGCACCGCCAGUUCAAAAGAUACAACAAGGAGCUUAUUUUCGGUAUCUUCUACAUAACGUUAAAGAGUUCCUGAGAGAAGGUCUACAUGGCUACCGAUAACGAGUACCUUUCUUUCACAGUUUCUUAUAUGUUGAACGAUACCUUUUCAAAAGAACACCCCUUUAUUUCUAAGAACAUACGUGUGUAUAGUAACUUUCACCUUAUCUAUAAGGUUUACGGUUGUGUUACUAUCAGGUCAUACGUCUUGAUAAACCCGAGCGGGUCGACAUAGUCAACGCUCCUUCUCAUCCUUCUAGUCCGUCUCUCCCAAAGUGUAUGGAGAAGAUGUGGCUGUUCAGAAACGAAAGGUCUUAACGGUACCUAUCUGAACCUCGAUAACUUCUCGUAAGCCUAGAGCCAGUUCCAAAGGUACAGCGUCUCUUCCUAUACCCAUAAUCCCCUUAACCUUCGUACAAACCACUCGUUGUUAGACCUCUACAACGUUUACAACCGUAGCUAGACAAGAAACUAUACGAAAAACUAUCGAACAGGUUCCAGCUAGUUAAAGCAGAAUUUGGGUAAGGAAUAUUUCUACAAGUCGACCUGUAAUUGUAAAGAGGCGUAGAGAGAAGACUUAUGUAUUCAAUAGAACUUUUAGGACAACUUAACGAGUUACUUCGUCGCGUUCGACGUCUUGUUCUAUAUACCUUGAAUUACGUUAAGUGUCUUCUAGAGGCAGCUGUCAUACCCUUCCUCGGGGCACUAUACCUCAACGAUAAUUUUUUCGAGAUACAUUCCGCCUACCGUCGUCUAGAACCAUAGUCGGCCUAUAUAGGUAGACCGUUUUACUAGUAGUACUUUUGUUUGUACUCGUCCUUUCAAAAAUCCGAGUACCUUCUUUGGUACCGAAGACUCUGCGUAGCGUUAAGAAACAGUAAGUGACCUUUCCUUUAAUUCCGCCUUGAAGACCAGUUAGACGGUCUGUGUGAUGAAGACUUGACCGAUAAAGUAACGAAUCGCCUAACGAUACGUUAUUACGGUCGGGAACACUCUAUGAUCUAAGAAACUAACCUUUUCCUGUUCUUGAUAUUGGACCUUACUUGAUAAGUACAAGCUCUUUUACUUUUCCGUUUACACAUGGUUAUUAUACGUUGUAACAAUUCUUUUAGACACUUUUACAUCACACUGUCUAAUAUGGAUAUGUAUUUGACCUACGGGUUUACCUUUCCGCACUUGAUGUAAAGACGUAGGUGACUGUCAAAGCAAAUCGAUCGUCACCGACCACACUACGUGUUAACUAUAGGACUUUACGACAAGUAGUUACCGCAAUUUCUUAAGACCAAGUCUAAGAAUAACGUCUCUUCUAGAGGUUCUAAGAAGACUCCGAAAGACUACCUCUUUUAGGUCGUAACGCUCAUUGUCCACGUAUCCCAAGUACUGACCAUUGCAUAUCAAAACAUUAGUCUUACGCGACAUAAUCCACCCCUCUAACUCACUAACUAAUGAACUAGGGAAACUAAGUCGUUUCCCAUCCAAAGAGAAAAAAAAUCCCCUUGAUUUUGAAAUAACUAAUUGAGCAAGGUCUCCAUACUAAUGUCACAGUACGCCGAGUUCAUCGGUGUGUGCAGAUGGAUACAGAUUCAUGUUUCUCAUAAAGUGAUCUGAUAGUCGAAGUACUAAAGAACUAGACGAGAGUACUGA
rnacentral:rRNA from 1 species